rnacentral:lncRNA from 1 species
CUUUAGUGUUCCAUGGCUGAGUCCGAGUGCACUGCAAGCAAUGCCUAUUUUUUUUUUUUUUUCACAGAUUCAUCAUUUGUUGGCAGCCCUUGGUGGGAAGAGGAUGGCUUGGGCUCUGAGAGUCAAAGAAGUGGAGAUGGGGCCUGUGAAACUCCAAUGGGAGGCCAUCUUUGUCUUCAUCAACAGACAGCUGGCUGCAUAUAAAUCUGACAGUCAUUCCAUAGAUUUCCCUGCAGAGCUAAAAAGAAAAGUACCUGUACAAUGUGCUAGUCCGGGAGAAUCUUCAAGAUGUAUCAUUUUAAAAUAUAAACGGAGAGCAGCAGAACGUAUGCAGGCUCACAUUUGCUUUAAAAACAAGCAUCAAGGACGGGGGAUAUAGCUCAGUUAGUAGAGCACUUGCCUA